CAUGUGGUUUGCUUUCCAUCUAGAUACCUGAUGUAUUACUUCAGCCGCAAAUUCAACAAGGCCAAGAUGUCUUCAUUUUCCUCCAGAGCAAGAGCUGUACAAGCAUUGUGAUGGAAGUAUUGGUCUUCUGUGGCCAGCCAGCGAGAACCCAUCAACAGCUGUGAUGAGCAGAGCAGACAGAGAGACAGGAGGCAGCUGAAGCCAAAGAGGACCCACGCCUGGAGCUGUGUGUGUGAUUGGAGCAGAGAGAGGCCAGGACCCAAGGAAAUCCCAGCAGCGAGGGAAAAAAACAGAUUGACUCUCAGUGACUCAUUUAGCUCCUGGAUUGGACAGAUCUCUCCCCUGCUGGCAAUUUGGCUGAGUAUCAAUGGACAGAUACCAGGAUGAAUAGCUUAAAAUAAUUAGGGGUUGGGAAUCUGCAAAACUGCUAGCCAUCCAAUUCUUUACUCUGCAAUGUGAGGCACAAAAAAGAAAUUACAUUUAGGUUAUUAAAUAUUAAGUCAGUGGAUUUGCCUCCAUUUGGUCCAGAACAGGAAACUGGAUAAAAUUCAACAUUUAUUUCAUUGUGUUGAUGGCCUGUUUAUCACUGAGCGGAAAAGAAGAGAAAAGAGGAAUUUGACAAAUGAUGGCAAUUGAGACUUCAUGAUUUAAUAACAGCAUCUCAAGCAGUUGUUCUGAAGUGGUUCUCAGUGUGAAAUGAGGUUGCCACAUGCUUAUCAGUGGUAAUAGAGGUAUAUGGCUACAGACGCCUUGCCCCUCAAAAGCUUCUUGUCUGCCAGAGUCCUAGACGAAGAACACCAGUCUGAAGAUCUUCGAUGUGGUUUGGCAAGUUCAUAAAAAUAUUUGUGAUAAAGUUGAACUGCUGUCUGGAAAUGUAACAUACAUCUCAAAGAAGCUUGAGAAGAAAACCCAGAAGAGUCAGCACUACACAUG